UACGGAGGGUGCAAGCGUUAUCCGGAUUUACUGGGGUUAAAGGGUGCGCAGGCGGCUAUGUAAGUCAGUGGUGAAAUCUCUAGGCUUAACCUGGAAAUUGCCGUUGAUACUAUAUAUCUUGAAUGCUGUGGAGGUAAGCGGAAUAUGUCAUGUAGCGGUGAAAUGCUUAGAUAUGACAUAGAACACCUAUUGCGAAGGCAGCUUACUACGCAGAUAUUGACGCUCAUGCACGAAAGCGUGGGGAUCAAACAGG
rnacentral:rRNA from 1 species